rnacentral:rRNA from 1 species
GACGAACGCUGGCGGCGUGCCUAAUACAUGCCAGUCGAACGAGAGCGACCGGUGCUUGCACUGGUCAAUCUAGUGGCGAACGGGUGAGUAACACGUGGGUGACCUGCCCAUCAGAGGGGGAUAACAUCCGGAAACGGAUGCUAAAACCGCAUAGGUCUUCGAACCGCAUGGUUUGAAGAGGAAAAGAGGCGCACGCUUCUGCUGAUGGAUGGACCCGCGGUGCAUUAGCUAGUUGGUGAGGUAACGGCUCACCAAGGCCGUGAUGCAUAGCCGACCUGAGAGGGUGAUCGGCCACAUUGGGACUGAGACACGGCCCAAACUCCUACGGGAGGCAGCAGUAGGGAAUCUUCCGCAAUGGACGCAAGUUUGACGGAGCAACGCCGCGUGAGUGAAGAAGGUUUUCGGAUCGUAAAACUCUGUUGUUAGAGAAGAACAAGUGCUAGAGUAACUGUUAGCGCCUUGACGGUAUCUAACCAGAAAGCCACGGCUAACUACGUG